rnacentral:rRNA from 1 species
AUUGAACGCUGGCGGCAUGCCUAACACAUGCAAGUCGAACGGCAACACGAAGGCGCCCCCUGCUUCGCUGACGAGACGCGGGCGUGAGGGUUAUGUCCGUGAAACCGCCUGAUGGAUGGGGAAAAGUACUGGAAACGGAUACCACAACCGCAUAACGGCGGAAGGCCAAAGAGGGGGACGUUCGUGCCGCUGGCCAUCGGGUGGGCGCAGGUGGGAUUAGCUAGUAGGUGGGGUAACGGCUCACCCAGGCGACGAUCCCUAGCUGGUCUGAGAGGAUGACCAGCCACACUGGAACUGAGACACGGUCCAGACUCCUACGGGAGGCAGCAGUGGGGAAUAUUGCACAAUGGGCGCAAGCCUGAUGCAGCCAUGCCGCGUGUGUGAAGAAGGCCUUCGGGUUGUAAAGUUCUUUCAGCGGGGAGGAAGGGAGUGAAGUUAAUACCUUUGCUCAUUGACGUUACCCGAAGAAGAAGCACCGGCUAACUCCGUG